rnacentral:rRNA from 1 species
UACGUAGGAGACGAGCGUUGUCCGGAGUUACUGGGCGUAAAGGGUGCGCAGGUGGCGGCGCGCGUGGGGGGUGGAAAUCGCCCGGCUUAACUGGGCGGGGCCUUCCAGACGGCGUGGCUUGAGCAGCGGAGGGGGACGUGGAAUUCCGGGUGGAGCGGUGAAAUGCGUAGAGAUCCGGAGGAACACCGGUGGUGUAGACGGCUUUCUGGACCGAUAACUGACGCUGAGACGACGAAAGCGUGGGUAGCAAAC